UCUCCGAUUGUUCUUGUUUUGUUUGUGUUUUUGUUUUCAAAUUUAGCUUACAUUUAUUUUUGCAUAAUGAUGAUAUUUGAUAAUUUUUUACUUUUAUGUGCAUAAAGUUGAUGAAAGCAAAUGUGUGUAUGGAAUAUUGUAACAACACCCACUGUCUUUAUAUAUGAAUCUGUUGGUUGGGUAUUUAGCAGC